UACGUAGGGAGCAAGCGUUGUCCGGAAUCAUUGGGCGUAAAGCGCGCGUAGGUGGCCUCGUAAGUCCGCUGUGAAAGUCAAAGGCUCAACCUUUGAAAGCCGGUGGAUACUGUGGAGCUAGAGUCCGGAAGAGGCGAGUGGAAUUCCUGGUGUAGCGGUGGAAUGCGCAGAUAUCAGGAGGAACACCAAUAGCGAAGGCAGCUCGCUGGGACGGUACUGACACUGAGGCGCGAAAGCGUGGGGAGCGAACAGG
rnacentral:rRNA from 1 species